rnacentral:snRNA from 1 species
AGUCGUGAGGAUUGUCUGGCUAUGACGUCCGUCACCCCAUUGAUCACCGGGUUAGUUUGGCAGUUCUGGCUGGGUAGGCAGGUGUCUCCUUCUGGCCUCACUACUCCAUGUAUAUACUCCCCACAGAGCUGCACGUUCAUUUAAAGAAGCAGACCUCAAUAAUAGGGGGGUAUCAGUCUCCAGUCCACGUCACAUGAGUAACUGCCUCAUCCGCUAGAACCUCCAAACGAGCUGCGAUGAAGCCCUAAACUUUAGGUGAGUUUCCCAUGGAGAUUAGUUCCCCU